UACGGAGGAUUCAAGCGUUAUACGGAUUUAUUGGGUUUAAAGGGUGCGUAGGCGGUCGGAUAAGUUAGAGGUGAAAUGUCGGGGCUCAACCCCGAAACUGCCUCUAAUACUGUUGGACUAGAGAAUAGUUGCGGUAGGCGGAAUGUAUGGUGUAGCGGUGAAAUGCUUAGAGAUCACGCAGAACUCCGAUUGCGAAGGCAGCAUACCGGCGCUCAACUGACGCUGAGGCACGAAAGCGUGGGGAUCGAACAGG
rnacentral:rRNA from 1 species